rnacentral:rRNA from 2 species
CUUUCAACAACGGAUCUCUUGGUUCCAGCAUCGAUGAAGAACGCAGCGAAAUGCGAUAAAUAAUGUGAAUUGCAGAAUUCAGUGAAUCAUCGAGUCUUUGAACGCACAUUGCGCCCCUCGGUAUUCUGGGGGGCAUGCCUGUUCGAGCGUCAUUACACCCCUCAAGCGUAGCUUGGUAUU